rnacentral:lncRNA from 1 species
CAUCCCUGUAUCAGAUUUCUCCCACUGAAGUUCCUUGUAUUGUGCAACACAUUUCCAAGUCAAAUUUAAAAUCUUUCAUUUCUCCAACCUCAAGCACAGUAGUGCAGACCCUCUUAAUAUCCUCACAGGAAUCUAAAUAUUACUUCUAGUAUAGUCUUUUGGCUCUCCUACAGCAACAUCCUCUCCAAAAACAUUUUCUCCAACACACUGAAUCAAACCCUCAUCUGGAGCUAGACCUCAAGGUCUACACCUGUAUAUCCUUCAUCACAUAUCUCCAAGAUGCUCAUCAAUCACACAGCAUAUAUCAGUGUUUAUGCCUCAACAUCUUUUCUCACACAUAUUCCUAAGGGCUUGGAAGCUUGCCAGGAUGACCAUUUCCACCUAAUUUUAUUCAAGCAAAUCCUCUAAUGACAUUUCAUUUUCAGGUUAUGAAAUGUGUUCAACUACAAGCACUCCACCAUUGGGCAGCCCGCCACAGCAGGAACUGUCCUCACUGGAGUUACCAAAGAGGAGCAGCUUUAGUUCUCAAAGGAAGGUUCUUAAUUUCAACCUGAAGUGCCCUAGUAGAAAAAGUGAGUUCAAUUAUAGCACCACCAUGCUUUCUCUUACAUACCAUCUCAACGAGACUGAAGCUACAUGCAUUUUACUUCCAUGCAUACAUGAGGUUUGUAAACCAACUUGGACUUUUCUAAAUAAAAGACUCCAUUUAAAUGAAACUGCUACUAAACUCUCUAUUAAGGCCUCAGUAAGCAGUGCCUAUCUGUUUGGUGUUUUAAUUCCCCGCUUCUUUCAUCUAAACCUGGUGAGGGUUUAGAUCCAAAGAUAAAGGGAUCUCAGAAGCAACAAGCAGAAAGCAGGGCUGAGCUGGAAUGACACAACUGUUUAUUAGGGUCUGCACUGGGGCAUGCUGCUGUCUCAGCAGCUCUGGUAGUUACAGUAUGGUCUUGCAAGGCCUCCUACUUGACCCUCAAAGCAGCAUGGUGGGAACACAUCUGAGAGCAAGGGCUGCAACUCUGGCUGGGGCAUUUGCAUUAUCUACCCCACCAGUGGCAGAUACUUCUACCCAGAUGGAACUGCUGAAGGGAGAGGCUGCUGAGCGGACCUCAGACUGCAGACUGUGCCGAGCCCUUUCCCUGGGCUGGGCAGCCAGCAGGCCUGCCUGCAAAAGGUGUUGCCCAGGUGGGGGACCUCCUGCAGCAGCUGGCUGAGCUGUAGGAGGCAGUGAGAAGCCUGUGUGACAUCAGGGCUGCUGAGGAGGAAUUAGACAGUUGUUCCAAACACUAGAACACUGGACCCACAAUCUACAGCCAAAGAGCCAGAAACUCCCAGAAAAGGGAGGGGGGCCAAUAAUGCAGAAGAAUGGAAAGCUUGCCAUGGCAAGGACCUGCAGGAAGAGACUUCUUCCCAAAGACUGAGGUGUCCUCACAGCACCACUUUGCUGCUCUCAGACUGGCGACACACGUCAUCUCAGAAAAGACACUAAAGCCAAAUAAGGCAGUCCUGGGAGUAACAGGAAAGUACUUUGGAGCAUGGGCAGUUUUUUCAUCAAUCUUCCUGGUCAAAGAGAAAGGGUUCAAAAGGGCUACUCAAAUCUAGCAAACCAACUGGUGGUUUUGGGACUGGUGCCACAGCCAGGGGUUUGGCUACUUAGACCAUGGGACUUGCUUUGGGAAACCAGAGAAGGGGAAGGGCCCUGCAUGGAUGAACAAGGAGCUCCUGGGCAAAAACACACAAAGGAACUCUACAGAAAGUGGAAGCAAGGCCAGGUAGCUAGGAGAGCAGAGAGAAGUGGGCCUGUGAACUUAUGAAGUUCA